rnacentral:rRNA from 1 species
ACCGGCGCACGGGUGCGUAACGCGUAUGCAAUCUACCUUGUACAGGGGGAUAGCCCAGAGAAAUUUGGAUUAAUGCCCCAUAGUAUCUUUUGAAGGCAUCUUCAAAUUAUUAAAGUUCCAACGGUACAAGAUGGGCAUGCGUCCCAUUAGUUAGUUGGUGUGGUAACGGCACACCAAGACGAUGAUGGGUAGGGGUCCUGAGAGGGAGAUCCCCCACACUGGUACUGAGACACGGACCAGACUCCUACGGGAGGCAGCAGUGAGGAAUAUUGGGCAAUGGAGGCAACUCUGACCCAGCCAUGCCGCGUGCAGGAAGACGGCCCUAUGGGUUGUAAACUGCUUUUGUACGGGAAGAAACACUCCUACGUGUAGGAGCUUGACGGUACCGUAAGAAUAAGGAUCGGCUAACUCCGUGCCAGCAGCCGCGGUAAUACGGAGGAUCCAAGCGUUAUCCGGAAUCAUCGGGUUUAAAGGGUCCGUAGGCGGCCUUAUAAGUCAGUGGUGAAAUCUCCCAGCUCAACUAGGAAACUGCCAUUGAUACUGUAGGGCUUGAAUUUUUGUGAAGUAACUAGAAUAUGUAGUGUAGCGGUGAAAUGCUUAGAUAUUACAUGGAAUACCAAUUGCGAAGGCAGGUUACUAACAAACGAUUGACGCUGAUGGACGAAAGCGUGGGGAGCGAACAGGAUUAGAUACCCUGGUAGUCCACGCCGUANACGAUGGAUACUAGCUGUUCGAACGCAAGUUUGAGUGGCUAAGCGAAAGUGAUAAGUAUCCCACCUGGGGAGUAC